UCCAAGCGUUUUGUUGUUGAACUUGAAGCCCGAGUUGUAAACAUUCUUUGACUCAACCCCCCACUUCCCCACCUUCCUCUAAGUAUCUGGAGAGAGGAUGGCAUUCAAAGGAACUUGGUGAUUCACUGGGGGAUAGAAAGGUAGAGGGAGAAAAGUCAAGGAGAACGCGUGGGCCUGUGUCCUCCUCCUCCUUGUUCAGUAUUUGGAUGAAGACAUUUAAAGUAUUCGUUGCGUUAAAAGAAACAGCAACCAGUUGUGUACAAAUAGAUGCCAGGUUUAGUGAAUUCUGUUGAGAGGCGUGGAUUUAAGCAAGGAGAAAUGAAGGCAACGGUUUGGGGACGGUCGCUGGAACUGUUCGAGAUUUUCCAGCUGUCAGACCCAUGUGGUGGGAAGAAUAACAAUUUGAAGACAGCCUGCAGUUUGCAAACUCUUUCUGAAAGACAAACGUCGAGUCCAUGGAAAGGUGCUGAGGAUGGCGAGGGAAACAGCAGAAAAUAUGUCCGGAAGUUGGCAUGAUUAUCUGAAUGCAGAUCCGGCCCCUCCUUGAAACGUGGAUUGCUGGGAGAUGUAGUUCUUGUGUACAGAACAGCAAGAAGGAAUCCUUUUCCAACUGGAAGUUUGGGGAUGACACCAAAUGACAUCAAGUUUGCAGAUGACACCAAAUUGGGAGGGAUAGCCAAUACUCCAGAAGACAAGAGCAGCAUUCAAAACGAUCUUAACAGAUUACAGAGAUGGGCCAAAACUAACAAAAUGAAGUUCAACAGGGAUAAAUGCAAGAUACUCUACUUAGGCAGAAAAAAAUGAAAUGCAAAAAUACAGAAUGGAGGGAUGCCUGGAUCCACAGCAAUAAGUGUGAAAAAGAUCUUGGAGUUCUCGUGGACAAGUUAAACAUAAGCCAACAAUGUGAUGCUGCUGCUAAAAAAGCCAAUGGAAUUUUGGCCUGCAUAAAUAGGAAUCUAGUGUCUAGAUCCAGGGAAGUCAUGCUACCUCUCUAUUCUACCUUGGUCAGACCACACCUGGAACCACACUGUGUCCAGUUGUGGGCACCGCAAUUUAAGGAAGAUGUUGACAAGCUGGAAUGUGUCGAAGGGCGACUAAAAUGAUCAAAGGGCUGGAGAACAAGCCCUACGAGGAGCGGCUUAAAUAACUUGGCAUGUUUAGCCUGCAGAAGAGAAGACUGUGGCUGCAUGUGGCUGUUUUGGAAAAGUUUUGUUGUUGCAUGUCUUCAAGUGGUUUCUGACAUGCCACUCCUAAGGCUAUCAUGGGGUUUUCUUGGCAAUACUUGUUCAUAGGGUUUUGCCUUUGCUUUCCUCUGAAGGCGAGAGAGUGUGACUUUCUGAAGGCUGUCAGGUGUCCAGUAGGUUUCUAUGAUUGAGCAGGGAUUCAAAUCUAUAAGCAUAGUUCAGUGCUUAAACCACUACAACAUGCAGGUUCUGUUUUCAGAACCUUGUAAAGUUGAUCAGAAUUAUCAUUUCUACAUUUCUCAGACUUAGAAUUGCUUAAGAAGAGCUUAGGUUAGUUUAGAUUAGUGGACAACCAUUUGGCAAUGAGUUAAACCCUUCAAAGAAGAUAUUAAUACAUUAUUUGAGAACUCAGAAAUACUGGACCACUCUAACAACCACCAUGUCAGACUACACAGAGAAGCCAUUGACAUCCAAAAGUAUAUGGAUAAUGUCAACAGAAAGGAGGAAACCAUGGAAAUGAACAAAAUCUGGCAACCAGUAUUAAAAAGCUCUAAAAUCAGGACAGAAAAUAAAGAACAACAUACUGAAAACAGGGGAAUUCCAGACAGGAAACAAUUGGGGCCAGCUAACACCUACCAACAAAGGAGUCCUCCAGGCAGGAAGCAGCCAGGCUUUGAAGCUGCAAGGCUAUUCAGUGCUAAUCAAGCUGACCAAUUGAAACAUUCACAUUUGCAGACAGGAGUUCUUUCUCCCACUCUGGACAUUCCACAGAUAUAUAAACCCCACUUGCCUAGUUUCCAACAGACUUCACAAUCUCUGCCGAUGCUUGCCACAGAUGUGGGCAAAACGUUGGAGAGAAUGCUUCUGGAACAUGGCCAUACAGCCCGGAAAAUUCACAGAAACCCAUUAAUACUUUCCAUAACAAACUCUCUGUCCCAUCAUUUCACACCUGUAUAGAUACAGAGCUAUAAUAAAAACACUAACUUUAUCAGAAAAGAUACACACAAAACUUUUGAUCAAGAGGGUCAACCCCUCCCCAGGGCGACACAGUAUGAGACUAAGUGAGACAUGUUUAUUAGUUUGAUGCAACCCUUAUAUAUAAUCUUUGUAAACAAGAUGCCAAAGCAUUCCAUAGUCAAUGACUGAGCAUGUCUGGAACAUACAUAACAAAUAUUUGGCCAGUGUUUAUUAACUGAUUCUUCUGAUUUCCUACUUCAUGAUCUGGUCCAAAGUGGUUCAAGCAAGCUUUGUAGUUACAUACUUGAAUUAAUCGAUUGACAGUUCAAAAGACUGUCACAAACAGCACAAAUGGUGACAGGUACACAAAACAAACACUUUGGCUCUUCAUCCAGACUUUUACGCUUUGUUGCUGUCCUACAACUGAUAUAAAAAGCCUGUCUCCAGCACUGGAGUAUUACAACCAUGGGAGUAUCUACACUGUAGAAUUAAUGCAGCUUGACUCCAUUUUAACUGCCAGAGCUCAAUGCUAUGGAAUCCUGAGAUUUGUAGUUUGGUGAGGCACAGCACUCUUUGGAAGAUAAUUUUUGCUGGCAGUGAGAUUUUCUUUUAAAUCAUCAGCACCAGAGAUUCAUGGAAAGGUAACUGCUUCCUAGAUGAGUCAAAUUCUGUUGACUCAUCCACAGCAAGUCAAUAUCACAAGAUGUAAUAUCCCACUUAGUUUCAGACUUUUAUUUAUUAAACAUCACUCUGAUGUAGAAGGGCUUAUUCAUCCCAAACCCAGUUCUAAAUGCUGUUAAAGCUAUAAAGCCAAGAUCAAGAGAAGAGGUUUAUUUCUCUCCAGACUGUUCUCACUGCCAAAUGGUGUUUCAGAAAACCCCACUGAGAUGAAUUAACACCUCCAAAGGGGGAGAUUAGAGGCCCCUUUCAAAUGGCUCCUAGGGAACUCUUCUCUCUCCUGCCCCCCAUGCUUAAUCUGUCUGAACCCUCAAGAUAAUAUGAAGAUCCCAAAUAAUUUGAGUGCUGUAGGGUCAUAAACAUGGUCAGGCACGGGUUUUAAAUUAACAACAAUGUUAUUUAUCUCUGAGUUAUGGGAUACAGUAGAGUGAUUGCCAAGCUAUUUCCAUUAAUUUAAGUGCACAUUCUUUUUAUUAAGAAGCAGAAAUGUUACAGGGAGUGAAAAGCAUCUCAGAAGGCUUUGCAAAGCAUCCUGCAGCUGUGGAUAGUUUCUUUGUCUACACGAGAGGUUCUCAUCCUGGGAUCCCCGGAUGUUUUUGGCCUACAACUCCCAGAAAUCUCAACCAGUUUACCAGCUGUUAGGAUUUCUUGGGAUUGAAGGCCAAAAACAUCUGGGAACCACUGGUCUACAACCUGGAACAAAUUCACUGUCCCACUGAUUCACUGCCCCACCACUGAUUGCCACACAAAUCUGAGUCAGAAAACCCGUUAUGUUUGCUGGAUGAGGAAAGAUUCAAGGAAAUGGGAAUGCAAUUCAGAUCCAAAAUCUAGCUUUCUUGGGAGUGUUGUGGUAAAAGGAGUGCACGGCUAUACUUGUUCAAGUUUCACAUCAACUACAAAUAGGGUUGGGCAAGAAUUGGAAGGAGGAGAUGGAGUGUCUGAACUCCUUUAAUGGCAACAUUUAACAUUUGUGCGCGUGAGGACAGAUAUAUUUAAGUGUCUCAGGUGAUAGUUCUAGCCAUGAUAGCUACAUGAAACAUCUAGGUUCUGAAGCUACAAGUUCCCACCUCCAAAUAUCAAGCUAAGACUUGUUGCAUGAGAAAACCAGCCCUGGGUCCUUGGGAUGUCUACUUUACCUGGGCCAGGUUCCCACUGACUUAAGUCUCCUUUUUUUCUUUUCUCUCUCUCUGGCACCUGCCAGAGCACUAACCCAAUGAAAGGCAAAGAGCACUCCUUAGAUGCCUUGCCAUCGUCUUCCUCUGAAGGUUUAUAUGAUGUGCCAUGACAACCAGGAGUAGAUUAUCCCUGGCCAUGACUUACUGGGAAGCCUGGCUUGUUAAAGGUACUUUGGAAAACUAUGUCUCUCAUGUAUAUAAUUGCCCUAAACGCUCCAUGUUUUUUUCCUAUGUGUUCCUAUUUUGCCUAUAUGUUGUGUUAACCUAAUGUUUUAUGCUCCUGAGAUCCCCAGUCCUUCCCUUGGAGGGAAACUUUGUUCCUGAACCCAAAGAUGUCUUGCCUCCCACACAAUUAUAUAGCCUGGGGAAAAGAAACUACGCUGGGAACUUCCUCAUCAAGUUCCCAGUUUCACCUAUAUUUUUGGAUUUUACCUGGACAUUGCAACACACGACUUCUAUUCAGGUGGGGGAAAUCACCUCUCCCUGCCCUUGGGGAAGAACCAAUUUCACCACCCUGCGCCUUUGAUGAACGGGACCGCUCGCAUCAGAAGGAAUUAGCAUGUCUACAGCCAAACCCCAACCUCUGUCAUUUUGCAUGAUUAUGUCAGAACAUGAUGUUUUGUUUCUCUGGGGUCUGGAAUCACCAGGCCAGCCCUAUUAAUGGGCCAUGUCAUGUUCAUCUCAUAAGACAAUAGCAUUCCUGGUAGGGCCAGAAACGCCCUCAAUCAUUUUGUUAUUUUUCCUGUUCAAUAAAAGGAACCUCAUUUAUCGAGGCUUAAUCAUCCCUUGUCCCAGCCCAUGCUGGCCAGUGAGCCAAGCCCCUCUCUGUGACUGGUCAGAAUUAGGGGCUUGGCUGAAGCCUGCCAGCUUGUGUAUAAAAAGAACUGUGAAACUGUAUUCUGUAUGCUAUCUACUUUGUGAAUGAAUCACUAGCUAGCAUUUUAUCUGCAGAUAAUAAAAUCUUCCUUGGCUGAAAA